UACAGAGGGGGCAAGCGUUGUUCGGAAUUACUGGGCGUAAAGGGCUCGUAGGCGGCCAACUAAGUCAGACGUGAAAUCCCCAGGCUCAACCUGGGAACUGCGUCUGAUACUGGAUGGCUUGAAUUCGGGAGAGGGAUGCAGAAUUCCAGGUGUAGCGGUGAAAUGCGUAGAUAUCUGGAGGAAUACCGGUGGCGAAGGCGGCAUCCUGGACCGACAUUGACGCUGAUGAGCGAAAGCUAGGGGAGCAAACGGG
rnacentral:rRNA from 1 species